rnacentral:rRNA from 1 species
GUGGAUUAGAUACCCUGGUAGUCCACGCCGUAAACGAUGUCUACUAGCCGUUGGGAUCCUUGAGGUCUUAGUGGCGCAGCUAACGCAAUAAGUAGACCGCCUGGGGAGUACGGUCGCAAGAUUAAAACUCAAAUGAAUUGACGGGGGCCCGCACAAGCGGUGGAGCAUGUGGUUUAAUUCGACGCAACGCGAAGAACCUUACCAGGUCUUGACAUCCAGAGAACUUUCCAGAGAUGGAUUGGUGCCUUCGGGAGCUCUGAGACAGGUGCUGCACGGUCGUCGACAACU